GUGUUGGGAUUAAAGGUGAGUACUAC
rnacentral:piRNA from 1 species